UGCACACACCUGAGUGAGUUCUACACAGU
rnacentral:piRNA from 1 species